rnacentral:misc_RNA from 1 species
AAGUCCGUAACAAGGUUUCCUGUUAGGUGAACCUGCGGAAGGGACAUUUUAUUCUCGGGCUUCGGCCCUGUCGAGAUAAGAACCCUUGCCUUUAUGAGUACCCGUCCGGUUUCCUCGGCAGGGCCCGCCGUGCCGAUGGGACCCAAAACCAAACCCUUUUUAUUACCUGUAUCAGUCUGAAAAAUAAACAAAAAUUAAAA